rnacentral:rRNA from 1 species
AGUGAACGCUGGCGUUAGGCCUAACACAUGCAAGUCGAACGGCAGCACAGUAAGAGCUUGCUCUUACGGGUGGCGAGUGGCGGACGUGUGAGGAAUACAUCGGAAUCUACUUUUUCGUGGGGGUUAACGUAGGGAAACUUACGCUAAUACCGCAUACGACCUACGGGUGAAUGCAGGGGAUUUUCGGACCUUGCGCGAUUGAAUGAGCCGAUGUCGGUUUAGUCAGUUGGUGGGGUAGAGGCCCACUAAGGCGACGAUCGGUAGCUGGUCUAAGAGGAUAUUCAGCCACACAGGAAGUGAGACACGGUACAGGCACCUACGGGAGGCAGCAGUGGGAAAUAUUGGACAAUGGGCGCAAGGCUGACCCAGCCAUACCGCGUGGGUGAAGAAGGCCUUCGGGUUGUAAAGCCCUUUUGUUGGGAAAGAAAAGCAGCAGGUUAAUACCUCGCUGUUCUGACGGUACCCAAAGAAUAAGCACCGGCUAAAUUAGU